rnacentral:rRNA from 1 species
AUUGAACGCUGGCGGCAGGCCUAACACAUGCCAGUCGAGCGGAUGAAGGGUGCUUGCUCCUGGAUUCAGCGGCGGACGCGUGAGUAAUGCCUAGGAAUCUGCCUGGUAGUGGGGGAUAACGUCCGGAAACGGGCGCUAAUACCGCCUACGACCUGAGGGAGAAAGUGGGGGAUCUUCGGACCUCACGCUAUCAGAUGAGCCUAGGUCGGAUUAGCUAGUUGGUGGGGUAAAGGCCUACCAAGGCGACGAUCCGUAACUGGUCGGAGAGGAUGAUCAGUCACACUGGAACUGGGACACGGUCCAGACUACUACGGGAGGCAGCAGUGGGGAAUAUUGGACAAUGGGCGAAAGCCUGAUCCAGCCAUGCCGCGUGUGUGAAGAAGGUCUUCGGAUUGUAAAGCACUUUAAGUUGGGAGGAAGGGCAGUAAGUUAAUACCUUGCUGUUUUGACGUUACCAACAGAAUAAGCACCGGCUAACUUCGUG